rnacentral:rRNA from 1 species
UAGGUUUUCGGACCUAGAGACCGGCGCACGGGUGCGUAACGCGUAUGCAAUCUACCUUUUACAGAGGGAUAGCCCAGAGAAAUUUGGAUUAAUACCUCAUAGUAUUACGACUCGGCAUCGAGAUGUAAUUAAAGUCACAACGGUAAAAGAUGAGCAUGCGUCCCAUUAGCUUGUUGGUAAGGUAACGGCUUACCAAGGCAACGAUGGGUAGGGGUCCUGAGAGGGAGAUCCCCCACACUGGUACUGAGACACGGACCAGACUCCUACGGGAGGCAGCAGUGAGGAAUAUUGGUCAAUGGGCGCAAGCCUAAACCAGCCAUGCCGCGUGCAGGAUGAAGCAUCUAUGGU